GCCUGGGUGGCUCAGUCGGUUGAGCGUCCGACUUCGGCUCAGGUCACGAUCUCGGUCUGUGAGUUCGAGCCCCGCUUCGGGCU
rnacentral:tRNA from 1 species